UGCCUUGCAAGAAAUGUUAAAAGAAGUGCUUUAGAGAGCAGGAAAAUUCUAUAGGUCAGACACUUGGAUCUACAUAAAAAAAGGAAGAAACCAAAGGAGAAAUAAGUGAAGGGGCUUGAAGAAGAUAUUUAGAAAUAUCAAAGCAGAAGAGCCUCGGAGAUAAUCUGAACUAUUUCUGAGUUUAUAUAAGGGAAAACUGAGACUGGAGAGAACUAACAUGUCUAAUAUUACAAUGGAAAUUUGUAAUAAAACCACAAAUUGA